GUUGGCUGAGAGCGUCAUCCAGGAAGUCUAAACCCAGAAUUACCAAAUACUCCAAGCAGAUGCUGACAAAGGCAAAAGCUGUGCCACCUCAUACUGGACGUAAGCCGCAUGCUUCUAAUUUAGAAUAAAAUCACAUAAAUGCUGAAUGUUGAUGCAAUUAUUUAAGAAUGGUGAUAAUCCCAUACGUUCUUUUACGGCAUAUGAUUUCCCAGAGUUACUGCCAUCCUCCCCAAAACCUGUAUGGAAUAGUACCAAAUCCAGCUGUAAGAUGGUGAAAGCACUGGAUCAGCCAAGGAAAACCUUGAAGCCUGAAGCAGCAUCCAGGACACCACAUAUGGCUGUCUAUAGACCCAAAAGAGCUGCAGCCAUCUCUACCAAAAGCUACAAGGAGCCAGAUACUGAUGACAGCCUGUCAGAAGUGGCGGAUUCUCCUACUCGCAAAAGAGAGCAGAGGAAAAAUGAGACCUAUUCAGAGGCUCCAGAGAAGAAGAGAAAAGGCACUUUCUCUGAACAAACCACAGGACCAAACUACAGGAAAGGAGAGUGCGACAACCAGUCAAAUUUGAAAAAGCCAGCUGCUUUGAAGAAGUUGAAUACGAAAAACGCCAUCACUGCCCAAGAACAAAUGAAGGAGUCCUGGACCUCAUGCCAGACCUCUUCUUGUCCAUCCCCUCCUGUCAUUGAGAAAAUGAGAUCUGUUGAGAUGUCAGUCCCAACCUUGGAUUUGACCUGCUCCCUUCUCCUUACCCCGCGGGGAUCCCAUCUUCCUCCCUCCCCUAAUCCUCCCUGCCAGGACACCCCUUCACCAGUUAUGCAGCUACCCAAGCCUUGCUCAACAGUCAGCAGAAAGGAAAACUGCAACCUGUCGGUCUGUGGUGCA
rnacentral:lncRNA from 1 species